UUAUUAGAUUAUAAUAAGACUACGUUUGUUACUUUAAUGUUUGUAUAAAAUGGGCAGGCGCUCUAAUCACUUUCGUUUUCAAGACAGCCUUACAGUUCACAGGUGUUAUGGAUAUGAUUUGAUGCUAGGGACUCCGAAGCGAAGACACCAAGCAUGUUUAAUUCACUAAUGAUCCUUCCGCAGGUUCACCUACGGAAA
rnacentral:misc_RNA from 1 species